rnacentral:misc_RNA from 1 species
UUUUGGACUAACUCUUCAUGGCGGGCUCCCUGCGCUUCGGCGCGGCCAACCGUCAUGGGGUAGUCUCUUCACUCUCCCUCCUGCAAAGACAUCUUUGUUGGGUUGGGAUGCUGUUGUUGGUUGCCUGCGCUGUUCUACCCAUGUCGGUAGGAAUACUAGACCCUACAUAUUGUAUUAUGGCUCUCCUGUUGACAGUGUUAUGUUGACAGGGCAGCUGAGGUAUCGGCAAUAAUUCCUUCUAUUGCAAUGGUUGAAUGUAACAGCCAAGGCAUUGAAAUGGAAUGAUUGUCGGAUCUCAUGGAUGUUGUGCCUAUUUUGUGAGCUCUGUUGGUUCCAUGAUCCUCAGGCUUAGUGAUGGUCCCAUAUGCAUGUAUCAUUUCUCCUGCGCUCAAUUAAAGUGUUUUGCUUCUAUUGAUCUUCUAAGGUGAUUGUUAUGUGCAUGUGGAAUGGCUAUCUUAUUCUUUUGACCAUUGAUUGCUGGUUCAUGCUGUUAGAAAGACCUUACCGCUUCGGUUGGUGCUUCUUGCAGCGUGUGUCGGCUUUCGCUUAAGAUGUGC